AUGGGCAAAACAUGAACUUCACUCUGAAUUUCUCCUGAAAUUUUAAUUUAAAGUUUACUUUUUCAAGACUCAUUUUGAAUUACAGAGAUCAUCUUCUACCUGUAGCCUCUUUUGGGAGGAUUUCCAAAAGAAUCCACUUCAAGGAAACACAGACUUGAAAACUCUCCUGCAUGGUUUUGUCUGAACUGGCUGCCAUUCUGCAGCACACGCUGGAUCCAGUUGCUGAAGUGGGGGAACCUGAGAGGUGCGUGGGCUGGCAAGAGUGACCAUUUAGGCGCGUGAGUCAAGUGGGCCUGCGUGAAAGGAUGUAGAUGUACUGUCUGUAGGACAGGGGUAGACUGAAUACCUGCUUCACUGAAUACCUGCUUCACAUCACCUUUCACAUUUUCUUAUUGGAAAGACAGCCGUUGGAGAAUCAUCUUGUUACCAUCAGCAAAAAUGCAAACAAAUCAAGACAUUAAGAAUGCCACAGUGGCCAGCAGUUAAUGAUGCCAGUGUUACACAAGCUUCGGCAAAGUUUUCAAGACAGUGUGCCUCACUAGCCAUAAAUCAGGAAAGAUUGAACUUAUCCUUUUUUGUCUCAGCUGUUCCUUAAAUCAAUGCAACCCCUCCAAAUUAAUGUGAAUUGAAACAUGCAUUGUCUUUUCAGCUUAAUUGAGUACUUACUAUGUGUGAAUCACUGCACAAAAUAGGGGAGGGAAAAUGAGGGAGACAAUUAGGAUGUGUUUCCUGCCUUCAAUGGAUUUACAAUUAGUUUCAGGGCACUUUUUUUCUUCUGCUCUUAAUUAAGUGUGUCCCUAAGAUAGAAAACAAAUGAAUGGAAAAGUGUAUUCUGCAAGUAUUUUAAAUCCCUUUAAUAAAACACAAAACAAAACAAAACAAAACAAAAUAA